rnacentral:rRNA from 1 species
CAGUCGCCGCGGGAAUACGAAGGGUGCAAGCGUUAAUCGGAAUUACUGGGCGUAAAGCGUGCGUAGGCGGUUUGUUAAGUCUGCUGUGAAAUCCCCGGGCUCAACCUGGGAAUGGCAGUGGAUACUGGCAAGCUAGAGUGUGUCAGAGGAUGGUGGAAUUCCCGGUGUAGCGGUGAAAUGCGUAGAGAUCGUGAGGAACAUCAGUGGCGAAGGCGGCCAUCUGGGACAACACUGACGCUGAGGCACGAAAGCGUGGGGAGCAAACAGGAUUAGAUACCCCCGUAGUCCCUGUCUCUUAUAA